rnacentral:sRNA from 1 species
UCCUAGCCCUGAUAGGAGCGGCAUCCUUUUUCUUGUUUCUUUAACAAGGAAAAGAUACAGCGUAUAGCAGGAAAUAGC